UACGUAGGGUGCAAGCGUUAAUCGGAAUUACUGGGCGUAAAGCGUGCGCAGGCGGUUUUGUAAGACAGAUGUGAAAUGCCCGGGCUUAACCUGGGAACUGCAUUUGUGACUGCAUGGCUAGAGUUUGGCAGAGGGGGGUAGAAUUCCACGUGUAGCAGUGAAAUGCGUAGAUAUGUGGAGGAACACCGAUGGCGAAGGCAGCCCCCUGGGUCAAAACUGACGCUCAUGCACGAAAGCGUGGGGAGCAAACAGG
rnacentral:rRNA from 1 species